rnacentral:ncRNA from 1 species
AUAAUAUAAAUUAUUUAUGGUUUAAUUUAAUUUAUUAUUUAUUUAUUUUACAUAUAAAUUUUAGUAUUUAAAAUUAUUUAUUUAAAUAAUAAUUAAUUUAUUUUAUAGUAAUUAAUAUUAAAAAUUUAAGAAAUUAAGAUUUAGUAAUAUAAAAAUUAUUAACAAAUUUUGUGCCAGCAGUUGCGGUUAAACAAAAAUUAAUUUAAAUUUUAUUAGUAAUUAAUUAAAAUUUAAUUUAAAAAUUUAAAUAUUAAAUUAUUAAGUGAAAUUUUAAUUUAAUUAAAAAUUUACUUAUUAUUUUAAUAAAUUUUAUUAUAAACUAGGAUUAGAUACCCUAUUAUUAAAAAUUUAAAUAAAAAUACUAAAAAAGUAAUUAUAAAAAUAUAUUGAAACUUAAAUAAUUUGGCGGUAUUUUAGUUCAUUUAGAGGAAUCUGUUUAAUAAUUGAUAAUCCACGAAUAAAUUUACUUAUUUUAUUAUUUUGUAUAUCGUUGUUAAAAAAAUAUUUUUUAAAAUAAAUAAUAUUUAAAAAUUAUAAAUAAUAAAUUAAAUCAGAUCAAGAUGCAGAUUAUAAAUAAGAAUAUAAUGGAUUACAAUAAAUUUAUUUAAAUGGAUAAUAUUUUGAAAAAAUUAUUUUAAAUUGGAUUUAAAUGUAAUUUUAUUUAGUUAAAUAAAAUGAUUAUAAAUUAAAAUAUGUACAUAUUGCCCGUCGCUUUCAUUAAUAAAUUGAAAUAAGUCGUAACAAAGUAGAGGUACUGGAAAGUGUUUCUAGAAAGAA